rnacentral:misc_RNA from 1 species
GAUGAAGAACGUAGCGAAAUGCGAUAAGUAAUGCGAAUUGCAGAAUUUCCGUGAGUCAUCGAAUCUUUGAACGCACAUUGCGCCCGCCGGUAUUCCGGCGGGCAUGCCUGUUCGAGCGUCAUUUCAACCAUCAAGCCCUGGGCUUGUGUUGGGGACCUGCGGCUGCCGCAGGCCCUGAAAUGCAGUGGCGGGCUCGCAAGACACACCGAGCGUAGUAGCUUACAACCUCGCUUUGGGAGUGCUGCGGGUGCUGGCCGUAAAGCGACCUUUGCGUCUUUAGCACUAGGUUGACCUCGGAUCAGGUAGGAGGACCCGCUGAACUUAAGCAUAUCAAUAAGCGGAGGA